ensembl:ncRNA C30B5.14 ncRNA
CGACUUUUCACAAUUUUCAGCUUCACCAGUUCCUUCUGGAGCUGUGAAUCAUUUGCAAUUCUUGUCACUCCUUCCCCUUAUUCUCUUUCUAACGCCAUACCCCUCUUCUUCCUUUUUUCUGUGCCGGUGCACUUCAAAUGAUG